AACAGCUCAAAUUUGAAAUCUGGCCCUAGGCCCGAGUUGUAAUUUGCAGAGGAUGCUUUUGGUGCGGUGCCUUCCAAGUUCCCUAGAACGGGACGCCAGAGAGGGUGAGAGCCCCGUACAGUUGGACACCAAGCCUUUGUAAAGCUCCUUCGACGAGUCGAGUAGUUUGGGAAUGCUGCUCAAAAUGGGAGGUAUAUUUCUUCUAAAGCUAAAUACCGGCCAGAGACCGAUAGCGCACAAGUAGAGUGAUCGAAAGAUGAAAAGCACUUUGAAAAGAGGGUUAAACAGCACGUGAAAUUGUUAAAAGGGAAGCGCUUGUGACCAGACUUGCGUCCGGUGAAUCACCCAGCUCUCGCGGCUGGGGCACUUCGCCGGCUCAGGCCAGCAUCAGCUCGCUGUCGGGGACAAAAGCUUCAGGAACGUAGCUCUCUUCGGGGAGUGUUAUAGCCUGUUGCAUAAUACCCUUCGGCGGGCUGAGGUACGCGCUCCGCAAGGAUGCUGGCAUAAUGGUCAUCAGCGACCCGUCUUGAAACACGGACCAAGGAGUCAACCUUAUGUGCGAGUGUUCGGGUGUCAAACCCCUACGCGUAAUGAAAGUGAACGCAGGUGAGAGCUUCGGCGCAUCAUCGACCGAUCCUGAUGUUCUCGGAUGGAUUUGAGUAAGAGCAUAUAGGGUUGGACCCGAAAGAAGGUGAACUAUGCGUGUAUAGGGUGAAGCCAGAGGAAACUCUGGUGGAGGCUCGCAGCGGUUCUGACGUGCAAAUCGAUCGUCAAAUAUGCGCAUGGGGGCGAAAGACUAAUCGAACCUUCUAGUAGCUGGUUUCCGCCGAAGUUUCCCUCAGGAUAGCAGUGUUGAACUCAGUUUUAUGAGGUAAAGCGAAUGAUUAGGGACUCGGGGGCGCUAUAUUGCCUUCAUCCAUUCUCAAACUUUAAAUAUGUAAGAAGCCCUUGUUACUUAAUUGAACGUGGGCAUUCGAAUGUAUCAACACUAGUGGGCCAUUUUUGGUAAGCAGAACUGGCGAUGCGGGAUGAACCGAACGCGAGGUUAAGGUGCCAGAGUAGACGCUCAUCAGACACCACAAAAGGUGUUAGUACAUCUUGACAGCAGGACGGUGGCCAUGGAAGUCGGAAUCCGCUAAGGACUGUGUAACAACUCACCUGCCGAAUGUACUAGCCCUGAAAAUGGAUGGCGCUCAAGCGUCUCACCCAUACCUCGCC
rnacentral:rRNA from 2 species